UCGUGUCUUCUUUAUCCAUCUCGAAUUGCGCUUUUCCUGGUUUUUCCGUCAUGUCAAUUCUUAUCCAUUUAGAGUAAUAACGCCCAGUCGACGACGAACAUGUUAAGCAUUCAUCUGGACAGUUUAGCAUACAAUUGGACAGGAUAAAGAUAUUUCUAGCGCACGAUGCAACCUUUGUCACAAUCGUAAUUAUUUUGCGGAUGCUGUAUUUAAACAGAUUUGCUAAGUAGGAUGGACGUCUCAGUCUACUUACAUAAAAUUGAAUAUCUAAUUAUUUUUCAUAAGCCAUUUAAAUGGAAACGUGUUAAAUCCAACUAUUUCGUUCGAUUAUUGUGAGCUAAUACGUAAGGACUUUAACCAUGUCUUCUCCUCCAAGCACGUUCAAUCACUCGUUGAUCAGCAAUGGAACCAACUGUUCGUCAACUGAACGAUCCUCUGCAUCCAUCCACCAAGAGGUUUGGCUCGUGUCACUUCUGCUUGUAGUUAUUAUCGGUCUGAGUCUUAAUCUUUCCGUCAUCUCACUCGUGAUGAUGAAAAAAGUGCCGCGAAGGAACAUGAAUCUUUUGGUCGCUAACAUGGCAUUCAGCGACUUUUUAUCACUUCUACUGGAGCCUUCGUCUCUUCUGUCCCAAAUGACGGGAAACUCGCCAUGGAUUGGGGUUAGUUAUCUGGCAGAUGUGACUUGUAAGUUGUACACAUUCACGAUGAACACAUCCACAUGGGUUUCCCUUGUGACACUUUUGGUUAUCUCCGUGGAGAGGUUCCGAGCAGUGUCAUCCGUUGUACAUGUGACGGAAAAACGCAGCGUUCUCAUUAUCCUGCUACUUGUGUCCUGGGUUUUACCUGGACUGCUUAACUCUAGUACUUUUGCUUUCUGCGCGGCUAAUAACAUCGGAGGGACAUUUCAAUGCUUGUGCGUCUUUACAAUGCAGUCAGCGAUCUAUGCUGUUGCUGCAAAUGUAAUCUUCGUAUUAUUGGUGAUCGUAAUUCUCUGCCUCAAUUUUGCAAUUAUACGUAAACUUGUUCGCUCUCAAGUGGCGAUACACAUCCCAGAGGCUCAGCAACAAAAGCGAGCUCGAAGGUUUCGCUCUGCGACGCGCAUGGUCAUAACUUCUCUUUUUCUGUUUGUACUCUGUGCGACCCCCCUCUACAUAGUGCUCACAAUCUUUAGAAUGCAGUUUUUAUUGGGAGUUCCAAUUCUUAGUGAGUGGAGCGGGAAUAUGAUUAAUGCAGUAACUGUUCUGUUUUUUGUCAAUCCUGCCGCAAGCCCGAUCAUCUACUUUGUAUUUCUCGGCGACUUUAGAAAAGUGUUACGCAAGUUUUGCUGCAGAAAGAAGGUUAUUGGUCAACCGAAUGCGGAACCGGGAUUACCACUUACUUAAUGAGGAACCGGAAGAACUACACUCUUGAUGUGGAACCGGAUGAACUACACAUUUAAUUAUUGUCCUUCGGGAAAAACUGUCCGUGAACAAAUCUGAAAUAGGGUUGGGAACUGUUGAGGAGUUCAGAAACCGAAGGUCUCUUAUAAGUGCUAAUGCCUAAAGGUGAACAUCGCACUAAAAAAUGAACUUAUCACUUUGGAAAUCAGACUUUUGGAACCUUCUCGUGUGCGACUUCCAGUUUGUCCUUACCUGUUUGAAUUAUUUUUUCUCGUCUUAUUAAAAAAACCAGAUCCUAUUCGUUGCAGCCCGAACUGCCAAUUGUUCUUUUAAAUCAUAUAAUAUAUGGUAAAUGAGGUAGAAAACUUUAGUCGAACAUUACUUCAAAUCAACUACAUUUCCUUCCACUUCCUUCUUAUUUGAAUCGUUUUAUUAUUUUCAUGACAUGACGCUGCAAAUAAGCCCAUUUCACAUCUAAUAAGGCAUAAAAUUUCACUGAGUGCUUAGCUAGUAAUAGCAAACACAGUAUCAAACGCGACAUUAAUGCGACUGAUGCGACUUUUUGUAAAGAGUUUUUGAAAUUUUCGUCCAUGAGCCCAUGCAUAGCGCAAGGAUGAUCAAUGUAAAUAUAUUUUAAAUAGCCAAAAUCUGGGUAUGUGCAUUUCGGCCUCACGUUAUUUGUGUUUCCAGAAUACAAGGAACCGAUGCCCAUAGUAAGAAAUCAAGUCUUUUUCAUCCAUCUCGAAUUGCGUUUUUCCUGGUUUUUCCGUCAUGUCUAUUUUAAUCCAUUUGAAGUAAUAACGCCCAGUCUGCGACGAAAAUGUUAAGCAUUCAUCUGGACAGUUGAGCAUACAAUUGGGCAGGAUGAAGAAGAUAUUUCUAGCGCACGGUGCAACAUUUGUCACAAUCGUAAUUAUUUCGCUGAUGCUGUAUAGAAACAGAUUUGCUAAGUAGGAUGGACGUCUCAGUCCACUCACAUAAAAUUGAAUAUUUAAUUAUUUUUCAUAAGACAUUGGCAUGGAAACGUUUGUCAAAUCCAACCAUUUCGUUCGAUUAUUGUUAAGCCUUCUGCGUUAGGACUUUAACCAUGUCGUCUCCUCCAAGCAUGUUCAAUCACUCGCUGAUCAGCAAUGGAACCAAAACUUCGUCAACUGAACGAUCCUCGGCAUCCAUCCACCAAGAGGUUCGACUUUACUCUUAAUGAGGAACCGGAUGAACUACACAUUUGUGAAACCGGAAGUACUACUCAAUGAGGAACAGGAAGAACUACACACGUAAUGCGGAACCGGAAGUACCAAUCAAUAAGGAACCGGAAGAACUACACAAUGUGGAACCGGAAGAACCACUCAAUAAGAAACCGAAAGAACUAUACUCUUAAUGAGGAACCGGAUGAGCUACACAUUUAAUUAAUGUCCUUCGGGAAAAACACUUUGUAUUCAUACUGAAAAUCAAAAUCAAGUUAGCGUUUACCCUUCAGUUCUACAUGAGAUUUCUGUUCUCAUUGAACCUCAAAACUAGCAUUUUUUUUGCAAUAUAUCAUAAUAUAAUAAUAAACAUUAGCGCGUGAAAAUUUAUGCAUAGUCACUGUUGUCUAUUCAACGAAUUUCCAAAAAAAAUUCCGUGGGAUACACUUUUAUUCGCCUCGAUAUUCGUCAUCGCAUGGAAUUUACGAGGCGCACAUCAAAAAUACCACGGAAAACUAUGGAAAACUUGUUUUUCACAAACGUAAAAUAAUAGUAGGGGCGGGUUCUUUGCUUAAAAUUCAUAAAGUGCAAACAUGAUUUCUGAUUGGGAGAAAUUCAUCCUUUCAUCAAAACCUUCGUUAAAGUGCAAACGGUCCACAUGAGAGAAUUUUGCGAAUGACGAAACCUUCUGAUUUAUCAAAGCUGACAACCAAUAAGAAAUCGAGAUUACGUGCAAGUAUUGUUUAAGACUUCUCCUGCUUUGACGUACUGGUAGCAUAACACCAUGGUGACCGGAGCCCGUGCAUUAAUUGUUGCCUUUCUGGCCAUAUUCUGUGUGCGACAGGCCCGGGCGAUCUCUGCAUUUGGAGUGAGUUGCCUAGCGGAGCAUAAUAAAUACCGCGAGAGGAACGGCGCUCCCCCUCUAGUGUGGGACGGUACCCUUGAGGCUCAUGCCAAGGCCUGGGCCAAGAAACUCAGCUCCGGUCGCCUCCCCCCUGGGGUGUUCCAUGACAUGAGGAGUCGUGAGGGUGAGAACAUCGCCAUAAUAUCAGAGCCGACGUGCGAAGAGGCGCUUAGCAUGUGGAUGGACGAGUUCAUAGAUUACAAGGAUGAAGGAUACUGCGCCAACCCCCCGAGACUACCCCCCUAUCACCUCAUGCAUUUCACACAAGUCACGUGGAAGGCGACCCGUCGGCUCGGGGUGGCUGUGUCAGGGAACUGGCUGGUGGCGCGCUACUCACCCUCGGGGAACUGGGGCGGACAGUUUGGCAGGAACGUUGAGUGCUAGAGAACUGUUGAGUCAAAAUGUUUUUAUCGAUGUAUUUGUCCAUUCAAAAAGAUCUCAAAAGUAAUAAAGCUAUCUAAAUAUUA